GAACAGGACCUCGGUUUUGCUUUUUCAGCCCGGUUUUCUGAACCGAGGUAAUGAUUAACGGGAACAGACGGGGGCAUUAGUAUUGCGACGCUAGAGGUGAAAUUCUUGGACCGUCGCAAGACUAACUACUGCGAAAGCAUUUGCCAAGAAUGUUUUCAUUAAUCAAGAACGAAAGUUAGAGGAUCGAAGGCGAUCAGAUACCGCCCUAGUUCUAACCAUAAACGAUGCUAACUGGCGAUCCGUCGGCGUCAUUCCCACGACUCGGCGGGGAGCCCCCGGGAAACCAAAGUUUUUGAGUUCCGGGGGAAGUAUGGUUGCAAAGCUGAAACUUAAAGGAAUUGACGGAAGGGCACCACCAGGAGUGGAGCCUGCGGCUUAAUUUGACUCAACACGGGGAACCUCACCAGGCCCAGACACCGGAAGGAUUGACAGAUUGAGAGCUCUUUCUCGAUUCGGUGGGUGGUGGUGCAUGGCCGUUCUUAGUUGGUGGAGCGAUCUGUCUGGUUGAUUCCGAUAACGAACGAGACUCUAGCCUGCUAACUAGUCGGCGGAUCGUCUCCCGAGACGGGUUUCCUUCCGCGGGGGCUUAGGGCGAGGGUAGCUCACGGGGGGCUCGUCGUUUCUCUCGUUCUCGGCAACGCGGGGUAGGUCGAAGGUAGAUGACGGAAAAGACGAGGAGGGUGGCGAGAGUCGUUGGCGGUCGGUUGGGGGUGGUGGUGGUAGUGGUGUUGGCUGCGGCGGCGGUGGUGGUCGGUUUUGCCUCUUCUCGUUGGAUGUCGCGGCGGCUGCUUGGCGUUGUGUUUCCUUCGGGGGCACUCGUCGGCGUCGUUUCGCGGGGUCUCAGCGGUCGCGGUGCGCCGAUGCACGCCGUCGUCCUCCUCAUCCUCCUACUCCUCCACCUCCUCCUUCUCGUCGCGCUCUUCCUCCCGAAUUUCUCUUUUCCCUCUCUCUACUCCUUUUUUCCUUCCUCCGCGCGUCGACCUCGGGAGGCGGCGAUCAAGUCCUUUCGAGUCCUCGUUCCUCCUCGCGCGUGGGAGCUCAACGAGGGGCGUCCGUCGUAA
rnacentral:rRNA from 1 species